rnacentral:rRNA from 1 species
GACGAACGCUGGCGGCGUGCUUAACACAUGCAAGUCGAACGCAGUGGCGAACGGGUGAGUAACGCGUAAUCAACCUGCCCUUCAGCGGGGGACAACAGGUGGAAACGACUGCUAAUACCGCAUACUGAGGGAGGAGACUGGGUGGGAUUGGCUGGUUGGAGGGGUAACGGCCCACCAAGGCGAUGAUCAGUAGGCGGUCCGGGGGGGGGAACGGCCACAUUGGGAAUGGGACACGGGCCAAGCUUCUACGGGAGGGAGCAGUGGGGGAACCUCCGGAAUUGGCGAAAAGCUGACGGGGCAACGCCGCGUGGGGGAUGGCGGCUUUCGGGUUGGAAAGCUCUGUUAAUCGGGACGCGGUACCGAAAUAGAAAGCCACGGCUAACUACGUGCCAGCAGCCGCGGUAAUAC